AUUGAACGCUGGCGGCAGGCCUAACACCUGCAAGUCGCGCGAGCGGCGGACGGGUGAGUAAUGUCUGGUGACUGCCCGAUAGAGGGGGAUAACUACUGGAAACGGUGGCUCAUACCGCAUACUAUCGGAUAACCCAUAUGGGAUUAGCUAGUAGGUGGGGUAAAGGCUCACCGAGGCGACGAUGUCUAGCUGGUCUGAGAGGAUGAUCAGCCACACUGGGACGGAGACACGGCCCAGACCCCUACGGAGGCAGCAGUGGGGAAUAGUGCACAAUGGGCGGAAGCCUGCUGCAGCAAUGCCGCGUGUAUGAAGAAGGCCUUAGGGUUGUAAAGUACUUUCAGCGGGGAGGCGUUACCCGCAGAAGAAGCACCGGCUAACUCCGUGCGAGCAGCCGCGGUAAUAC
rnacentral:rRNA from 1 species